rnacentral:tmRNA from 1 species
GGGGAUGCAAGGCAUAGACAGUAGGCCUUUUGCUCUUGAUGCAUGCCGAGCAUGAACGUAAUCUCGUAAAAAUUCGUUCAAAUGUUAAUUGCAAAAUUAGCUUCUAAAGUGAAAUCUGCGGUCUCUCCAUACUUCGGUAUGAAUGACUUUGCUUUCGCUUCGGUUUCCGCUUCGGCGUAACCGAUGUCUCUCUUAUAGACUUCCGAUAUAUAAGGGCAGGCAUAAUAUUAUCGGGAUAGGAAAAAGAUUGUUCCGACUUUUCUCCAAAACAAAGGAACUCGAUUAAAAAAUAUUUGGCUCGCUUAAGAAUUUUUUUAUCUAAACAAAAAGCGCGCUAAGCAUGUAGACUUUUUGGUAAAAACCUUCUGCACUGGGAUUCAAUUUCCCACAUCUCCACAA